rnacentral:tRNA from 1 species
CGGGACGUAGCUCAGCUUGGCUAGAGCGCGCGCUUUGGGAGCGUGAAGUCGCAGGUUCAAAUCCUGUCGUCCCGA